ACAAGAAUAUUUAUAACUAUAAGACCAGAUACAAUAACAAUCACAUGGAAGUAUUUAAUAUUUCACAUGGAAGUCUUAUAUAUCCUUCUCGUUAUCACACACAAGCCACAUAUUGAUAGUUAUUAUUAUUUUGAUAUCACAAGCUCGUGUAAUUGACUAAAUUUUGCUUAAAAAUGACUCAGACGAAGCUCUUGGAGGCUAAUAUUUAUAUAACCGAUUAUUACGUGCUUUCAUUAGUAAGGAGGAGGAGAUCAGUGGGACCUAUUUGAAGAAUUUAACUGAUUUUUCGAGCCACUUCAAGUGAAUGAUAGUAUGUGAUCAACCAAUCUC
rnacentral:lncRNA from 1 species